rnacentral:ribozyme from 1 species
GAUACCAACGAGAAAGAUGAAAAAAAGUACAAAGGGGCAGCCCAAACUUGUUUCUCAUUUUUUUCUCACUCGUUUCUUAGUUUCACACUUGUUUCUCACUUGAUUCUCACAAUUAU